rnacentral:rRNA from 1 species
ACAAACCAUCUCCCAGUUCGGAUUGCAGGCUGCAACCCGCCUGCAUGAAGUCGGAAUCGCUAGUAAUCGCUAAUAAGAAUGUUGCGGUGAAUACGUUCCCGGGUCUUGUACACACCGCCCGUCACACCAUGGGAGUCGGCAAUGCCCGAAGUCCGUGCUCAACCUGUAAAGGAGGGAGCUGCCGAAGGCAGGGGGUCAGCCACUGAAGUCGUAACAAGGUAGCCAGUAG